UACGUAGGGGGGCAAGCGUUGUCCGGAAUCAUUGGGCGUAAAGCGCGUGUAGGCGGUUUGUCGCGUCUGCCGUGAAAAUUCGAGGCUCAACCUCGAACUUGCGGUGGGUACGGGCAGACUAGAGUGUGGUAGGGGAGACUGGAAUUCCUGGUGUAGCGGUGAAAUGCGCAGAUAUCAGGAGGAACACCGAUGGCGAAGGCAGGUCUCUGGGCCACUACUGACGCUGAGAAGCGAAAGCAUGGGGAGCGAACAGG
rnacentral:rRNA from 1 species